rnacentral:rRNA from 1 species
UACGUAGGGUGCGAGCGUUAAUCGGAAUUACUGGGCGUAAAGCGUGCGUAGGUGGUGAGUUAAGUCUGUCGUGAAAGCCCCGGGCUCAACCUGGGAAUGGCGAUGGAUACUGGCUCGCUAGAGUGCGGUAGAGGAGAGUGGAAUUCCCGGUGUAGCAGUGAAAUGCGUAGAGAUGUGGAGGAAUACCGAUGCGAAGGCAGCCUCCUGGGCCAAACACUGACCGCUCAUGCACGAAGCGUGGGGAGCAAACAGG